ensembl:lncRNA
AAUGGCAUCUAAUAAACUCCAGUGAGUGUAUAACAAGCAGUUGACUUUGUGUUGGUGACCCUUCUUCUUGCCUGGAUUUACUUAAAAGAAACAGUAAAAACAUCCAUGAAAUCCUCCUUAUGAUAAUCAAAGAUCUUUGACUCAAGGAGAGCACCAUCUGUCUUGCUUUCCCCAGACGCAUGACUUUGACUUUGAUCUACUGAAGGACAUGCUUCAUUUGGUAGACAAAUGCGUAUGGAAAGCUGAAAGGCUGUGUGUGCAUCGUGACCAGUCGAGUUGAUAUGGAGCCAUGGCAUCAAUGCAAAUGGCCUCCCAGCACAAAGUAAAGAUUUAAGUGUGUCCCAUAACACAGCACUCAGCCCAGUGUUCCUGACCAAUGUACCCACGUACACAGACUCUAAUUCUGAUGCAGACCUGACAGAUACGGAGCAUUUGUCUGUGACUCGGUGCAGAGCCAAGAACAACGAUGUGUUCCAAGAUAUUUAUGUGUCUGAUUGGAGCUGUGCAUAUAUACUUUCAGGUCCUUGCAGCGGUCGAAGAUCUCUACAUUGCCGAGCUGAUGGUGGAGAGUAAUGUUACUAUGGAGGCCGACCAGAUCCUUUCCAUUUUGAAUUCAACACAUGACAUCAAACUGUCUGACUUGACCACAGUGAUCCUCUCCCACAAUGAACUGGUUGCAGAGUGCCUGCUUAUUCGAAAUGAAUCCACCUGCAGCUGCAGUACCGGCUACAUUUGGAGCAACCCGGUGUGCAACCAAUUCAACUGUUGCCGGGAGGCUCCUUGUCCUCAAAAUGUGUCCCACAUCGUGCCACUCUGUGUUGCCAAAGUCAUGGUAAAUAUC